AAUAUAUGCAAAUAGAUUAUAUAGAUUUAGAAUUAGAAAGUGAAGAUAGUAUAUAUGAAAUUUUGAAAAAUGAAACAGAUAAUGAAAUAGAUAGUGAAUUAGAUGAAUCAAAUGACUGAAGAAGAUAUAAAAAUAAUAACUCCAUAUUGGGUUCCUAUUUAGGUAGUUAUUUGCUAAUUCUUGAACAAUUGAAGAUAUUCCAAUAAUUCAUUUAUUUGCAUAAAAAUCAGGUAUCUCAACUUUAGGUAUC
rnacentral:lncRNA from 1 species